rnacentral:rRNA from 1 species
GCGCCGAAGCCGCGAGGCGACGGCGUUCUCGCCGGAUGUAGGAACCGACCCGGGGACCGCCGGGGCAAACCCGGCGCCCCCGAGACGGGGCGAACCACGGUGAAAUGACGGAUCGUCGGCCCCGCGCCGGCGACUCGCCGAAUGAGUUUCUGACCUAUCAACUCGAGACGGCGGGGUAGAGGCCCGCCGCGGUAACGACGGGUAACGGGGAAUCAGGGUUCGAUUCCGGAGAGGGAGCCCGAGAAACGGCUACCACUUCCAAGGAAGGCAGCAGGCGCGCAACUUACCCUAAUCUCGAUUCGAGGAGGUAGUGACAAGAAAUACCGAUGCGGGGACCCUACGGGUGCCGCGUUCGGAAUGAGUACGAUUCGAACCACCUAACGAGGAACGAUCGGAGGGCAAGUCUGGUGCCAGCAGCCGCGGUAAUUCCAGCUCCAAUAGCGUA